GUUUUUGUAGUUGAACUACAACGGUGGUUUUUCAUAUCACUGGUCAUGGUUGAAAUCCAUGCAAGAAUU
rnacentral:tRNA from 1 species